rnacentral:rRNA from 1 species
UCGAGAAUCUUCCGCAAUGGACGAAAGUCUGACGGAGCGACGCCGCGUGCGGGAUGAAGGCCUUCGGGUUGUAAACCGCUGUCAGUGGGGUGGAAAUCUUUGAGGGCUAUCCCUCUUAGUUGACCUAACCGCAGAGGAAGUCCGGGCUAAGUACGUGCCAGCAGCCGCGGUAAUACGUACCGGACGAACGUUAUUCGGAAUCACUGGGCUUAAAGAGUGCGUAGGCGGCUUAACAGGUGGGGUGUGAAAUCCCACGGCUCAACCGUGGAAUUGCGCUCCAAACCGUUAGGCUUGAGGGAGACAGGGGUGAGCGGAACUGAUGGUGGAGCGGUGAAAUGCGUUGAUAUCAUCAGGAACACCGGUGGCGAAGGCGGCUCACUGGGUCUCUUCUGACGCUGAGGCACGAAAGCUAGGGUAGCGAACGGG